GAUGAAGAACGUAGCGAAAUGCGAUACGUAAUGUGAAUUGCUGAAUUCAGUGAAUCAUCGAGUCUUUGAACGCACAUUGCGCCCCCUGGUAUUCCGGGGGGCAUGCCUGUCCGAGCGUCAUUGCUGCCCUCAAGCACGGCUUGUGUGUUGGGCCUCCGUCCUCCUCCCGGGGGACGGGCCCGAAAGGCAGCGGCGGCACCGCGUCCGGUCCUCGAGCGUAUGGGGCUUCGUCACCCGCUCUUGUAGGCCCGGCCGGCGCUUGCCGACACAUCAAUCUUUUUUCCAGGUUGACCUCGGAUCAGGUAGGGAUACCCGCUGAACUUAAGCAUAUCAAUAAGCGGAGGA
rnacentral:misc_RNA from 1 species